ACCAUUAUAACAAAUUACAACUUCAACUUGUAACUUUAAACCAUCAACCUAAAAUAGCCUAUAUAUAUAACAUAUAGUCAUUCAAGUCACAAACCACAAUCAAGAACCAAAGUUCUAACAUUCAAAAUUGACCAAAAAUGAAUCGCCUAUAUACAUGCUACAAAAUCGAGUUUUAAACAAUUGAAAUAUUACUAUCAAUAUCGGGAUAGUGUGAACUUCGGACGAUCCGCUUGACGUGUUUCUCAAGUUGACAAUCUACAGGGAAAAGGAAAAACAAACGAGAUAAGCAUAUUCAAUGCUUAGUAAGUUCACAUGUAUUAAACCAAGUAACUUACGUAGGUUAUAAAUAUACACUACAUACUACUUAGCUUGGUAAAGCUGCCUAUCAUGGCAAAUCAAAUAUCAAAUAGGUGAGUUCAACAUUUAUCAAACCAUAUAGUAACUCAAUCAUAUAACAUUUCAGUUCACUUAAUUCAACAUUUCAUUAUCAUUCACAAAAUAAAUAAUUAUUUAAUCAAUUCAUUACCUUAAUCAUAUCAUACAAUCUAUUUACCCGCAAUACAUCUCAUUUCAAAUUAAUGUCAAACAUUAUUUUCAUUUCAUAAUUUGAAUUCUCAUAUUAAAUCAUAUGAACUUUAUUCUCGUAUCAUAUCAAUUCAUCUUUAUACCAAAUAUAUAUCAAUUUUCAAUUUAAUGUUAAUUACUACUUCAUUUCAUAAUACUUUAUUUCAAAUCACAUUCAUCGAUUUAUCAUGUUUCCAUAUUGGCCCCCUAGGCUUGUAUAACCGAUUCUCAAUAUGUAUAAGUAUUAUUCGAUCAUCAUUUUUCCAUUUACAAUAUAGAUGUCCCUAUUAACCUGACUCGGACUUGGACAGAUACACGGAUCCAACCAACACACCAAUUUGACAUCCAGUAUCUGUCGAAUAAUUUCGAAAAUAAUAAGUUGCGCCCUACGUUGGUUGGUAAAAUCGAAAAAUAGAUGUGCCCAACACUGGUCGGUAUAACUGGUAAAUGGGGUGCUCAGCACUCCUCGGCACGUAGUCGUAUAACCUUGAACUGUUCCUAUCCUAUGGCAUACCAACUAUACCCGACUUUUUCCGAACAUUUAAUAGGGUAACAUUUUCUCAUUUCCAUUGCAUGAUUUCAUCAACCAAACAAUAAAUUCUCAAAUAUAACAGCACAUCACACAACCAUACUAAUUCAAUUUCACGUUUACAACAUUAUAUCAUACUUUCACAUAUAUUCAAUUCGGUCCUUAUCACUAUCAACAUGUCUAAAUCGAAUCAAUUCGACUCAUUUAAUCACAUCAUUGCAUAAUAUAUCUUAUUUCAAUCCAAUUUAAGGUCAAUUCUAUAAUUAUUUCAAUUUACAAUUCAUCGUAUUCAAUUUAAUCCUUUAUCUUACCUUUUUGUACCGAAUCGUAAAUAAUUAAAUUUUCAAUUAAACAUAAUUACAAUUAUAAUUCUAAAUGUAUAAAAAUUUAACACAAAAUUCCGUAUGAACUUACCUUGUCAAGAUAACAAACAAAUGACUCUCUGAGGACUAAUCAACAACUUUUGUCAUUUCCCCAAUUAUCUUCAGUUUAGUCCAAUUUCCAAUCUAUUCAAUAACUCAUCAAUUUAUCAAUUCCAAACACCUUAUAUCAUCCUAUUAUAGGUAUAUAUCAAUUUACUUCUAUUAUUGAAAUGCCCCUUAAAAUUUUUCAUUUUAUUCAAGUUAGUCCCUAAAUCCGAACUUAUCAUAUCUUCUGAAUUUGAACUCCAAAUUUUAAACCCACUUCAAUUAUGUCCAUAUACAGCCUCCUAUUAUCAUAAUUUAUAAAAAUUUCAUACCAAUUUCAAGAUAUUCACAAUUUAGUCCAUAAACUCAAAACUAACAAAAUUUACUUAACAAAUUAAUCUUAUUUCAAUUCUAAGAUUCAAAAUCUACCAUAAACAUUCAAAAACUUCAAAUAACAUCAAUGACAACUAUUUAAAUCUUUGAAAGUUUUAAAAACAGAGGUAUGAGUUAGCUGGACCUAGUUGCAACGAUCUCAAAAACAUAAAAUUUACAAGAAACCGGCUUAAAAAAGCUUACCAUGCAAAGAUUUAAGUUUGGACGAAACUUGAGUGUUCAACAAUGGUG
rnacentral:lncRNA from 1 species